rnacentral:rRNA from 1 species
UGGGGAAUUUUGGACAAUGGGCGAAAGCCUGAUCCAGCAAUGCCGCGUGUGUGAAGAAGGCCUUCGGGUUGUAAAGCACUUUUGUCCGGAAAGAAAUCCUUGGCUCUAAUACAGUCGGGGGAUGACGGUACCGGAAGAAUAAGCACCGGCUAACUACGUGCCAGCAGCCGCGGUAAUACGUAGGGUGCAAGCGUUAAUCGGAAUUACUGGGCGUAAAGCGUGCGCAGGCGGUUUGCUAAGACCGAUGUGAAAUCCCCGGGCUCAACCUGGGAACUGCAUUGGUGACUGGCAGGCUAGAGUAUGGCAGAGGGGGGUAGAAUUCCACGUGUAGCAGUGAAAUGCGUAGAGAUGUGGAGGAAUACCGAUGGCGAAGGCAGCCCCCUGGGCCAAUACUGACGCUCAUGCACAAGAAGCGUGGGGAGCAAACAGGAUUAGAUACCCCUGGGUAGUCCACGCCCUAAACGAUGUCAACUAGUUGUUGGGGGAUUCAUUUCCUUAGUAACGUAGCUAACGCGUGAAGUUGACCGCCUGGGGAGUACGGUCG